rnacentral:lncRNA from 1 species
UGUGCUGCAGAUGUAAAGGCACUCAUAUUUGUAAAAGAAGCAUCACUAAAGCUUAAAUCAUACACUGAACCCCACACUUUAAUAGUGGGAUAACUUAACAGCCACUCUCACCAAUGGUCAGUCAUUGAGACAGAAACUAAACAGGGCAAUAAUGAAACUAACAAAGGUUAUGAUUCAAAUGGAUCUAAAAGAUAUAUAAAGAACCUUUAACCCGAACACAAAAGAAUGUACCUUCUUCUCAGUACCUCACAGAACCUUCUCCAAAAUUGACCAUACAGUCGGUCGUGAAGCAAACUUCAAUAGAUACAAGAAGAUUGAAAUAACCCCAUUCAUCUUACCAGGUCACCAUGGAUUAAAGCUAGACUUCAACAACAACAGAAACAACUGAAAGCCUUCAAACUCACAGAAACUGAACUACUCUCUACUCAAUGACCACUGGAACAGGGAAGAGAUAAAGAAAUUAAAGACUUUCUAGAACUUAAUUAAAACGAAAGUACAAUAUAUCCAAACUUAUGGGACACUGUGAAAGCAGUGUUAAGUAAGAGGAAAGUUCAUAGCACUCAGUGCCCUCAUAAAGAAAUUGGAGAGUUCUCAUAUUAAUGAAUUAAAAGUACAUCUGAAGGCUGUAGAAAAAGAAAAAAA